AGUGGGGAAUCUUGGACAAUGGGGGAAACCCUGAUCCAGCGAUGCCGCGUGAGUGAAGAAGGCCUUCGGGUUGUAAAGCUCUUUUAGCUGGGAAGAUAAUGACGGUACCAGCAGAAUAAGCCCCGGCUAACUCCGUGCCAGCAGCCGCGGUAAUACGGAGGGGGCUAGCGUUGUUCGGAAUUACUGGGCGUAAAGGGCGUGUAGGCGGUAGCCUAAGUCAGGCGUGAAAGACCGAAGCUUAACUUCGGAAGUGCGUUUGAAACUGGGCCGCUAGAGGAUGGGAGAGGAAAGUGGAAUUCCUAGUGUAGAGGUGAAAUUCGUAGAUAUUAGGAGGAACACCAGAGGCGAAGGCGACUUUCUGGACCAUUUCUGACGCUGAGGCGCGAAAGCGUGGGGAGCAAA
rnacentral:rRNA from 1 species